ensembl:snRNA U6 U6 spliceosomal RNA
GUGCUUACUUUGGCAGAACAUAAACUAAAAUUGGAAUGAUACAGAGUAGAUUGGCACGACCCCUGCAUAAGGAUGCCAUGCAAAUUUCUGAAACAUUCCAUUAAAUA